rnacentral:rRNA from 1 species
UACGUAGGUGGCAAGCGUUGUCCGGAUUUAUUGGGUUUAAAGGGUGCGUAGGCGGCCUUUUAAGUCAGUGCUGAAAUACUCUAGCUUAACUAGAGGGGUGGCAUUGAUACUGAAAGGCUUGAGUGAGGUCGAGGUAGGCGGAAUUGACGGUGUAGCGGUGAAAUGCUUAGAUAUCGUCAAGAACACCGAUAGUGAAGACAGCUUACUAGACUUCAACUGACGCUGAGGCACGAAAGUGUGGGGAUCAAACAGG